rnacentral:rRNA from 1 species
UACGUAGGUGGCAAGCGUUGUCCGGAAUUAUUGGGCGUAAAGCGCGCGCAGGCGGUCCUUUAAGUCUGAUGUGAAAGCCCACGGCUCAACCGUGGAGGGUCAUUGGAAACUGGGGGACUUGAGUGCAGAAGAGGAGAGUGGAAUUCCACGUGUAGCGGUGAAAUGCGCAGAUAUCGGGAGGAACACCAAUGGCGAAGGCAGCUCGCUGGGACGGUACUGACGCUGAGACGCGAAAGCGUGGGGAGCAAACAGG